AGGCGCCCGUUUCAUUGGCCAAUACGAGGAGGAGGAGGAGGAGGGGGGGACAAUAGCCCGCCUUUUAGAAGUCUGGUCACUCAUUCAUCCAGCUGAUUAGAGGAAUGAAGUUGUCACUGCGCCGGAUACAGCUGGAUACAGCUGGCACAUUAAGGAGAAAAGAAGGAUCACUGUGGGUUACUUUUUGGUCUGCAGGACUCACACAAAAGGGGAAUUUGUUGUAUAGAGUUGGAAGUAAAUGCAGAACAGGAAGCUACAAACUCCUGACUCAUUAGUCUGGUUUCAACAAGUUACGAACAAUAUUCAACUUGCUUUAUUCAGAUUUCACGAUUAUAUUUUCUCCACCACAAUAAUAUUAAUAUCAUGAAGUUAAAUGUUGCAAUUCUGUUUCCUCAUAUGUUUACAUUGGAAUAUCUAGAGUCGAAAACGUACUGACCGUACCCACUUCCACUUUCCUUAUUAAAGAUGUUAUCCAUUAAUAAUGCUCAAAAAAGGCCUCAGUCACUGUACCACACUGUACUGUAUCUGGCUGCAGUAUUGUAAAGCCAACAUGCUAACCAAGUUGUUUACGUUCGGCAGGUAUAAUAAUUUACCAGGUUUCACAUUUAGUAGUUGGUGUGUUAACAUGAUAACAUUUACUAUGUUUACUACUGCUACUCAACACAAAGUACAACUGAGGACGAUGGGAGUGUCAAUAGAUUUAGUCAUUUAUAUUGCCCAAAUUUAUCUAAUGAUUAAUAAAAAGUAAAGAAAUCUCAUGAAAAUGAAUAGAAAUGGUCAGAAAAUCUGUACAGAAAAUUCCAUCCACUGAACCAAAACAUCAAUUUAACAUUUCAUCUUUAAUAUAACAAUUGCUUUAACAAUAUAACAAUGGCUACUGUAUUUCAUACACCACCAGACUAAAAUAAUCAUCCUUUAGUUUGUCUAACGAGGAGUUUUAUUGAGAUACAUGACCUCAUGCAGUGGAUGCAACAAUCCAGCUGUUCAUUUUUAUUUACUGACGAUACAUUUGAAGCAGCUGUGAACGUAGCAAUACAAACUUAGAAGGAAUAGAAAUAGCCUCCUACUUUAAUAUUUGAUACAUAAACUCAAAUAAACAAACCUACAUUCAUAUAUACAGGAACAGUCUGAAUUAAAUAAAUACCACAAGUACAACAUUACACAGAUCAGAUUAUCGCAAUUACAAUGAGAUUGAUAUUUCCAUGACACUGCAGCUGAUGGCAUGAUUGUGCUUGAUAAUAACACCACACGGCUACAUUUCCCUUUGAGAAAACACUGAGCUCAAUGGGAAUGAGAGCAAGUGGAUCAACGCCAGAGGAAUACUGUUAGAUUUUUGUAAACAUAUUUAGAAUAGACACGGUACCGAACAAGUACCGCCGGAGCCGACGUGUUUUCCGACUCAGCGUUCAAAUGUUUCCCUUUUCGUCCUGCUGAAUCCCCGGCAGGCGGCUGGCAGCGUGGUCAAAAACACGCGCGCAAAUUAAUAAAUAAAAACAGAUUCACAUCCAACCAAACACGGCGAUGGACGAAGACGUAAACUGCGGAUGAACUUGUUCAUCGAUGGACCACGUUUAAGACCACCACUGCACAGCAACAUGCAACUCAGAGCCCCAGAAGAUGAAGGCAAAACACAUUCAACAUAUUUAUACACAUGAGUUAUUUCUUGCCAUGAUAACAAACACCGAAGGGAUCUUCCCUCAAAGGUAAUGAACAGUCUCUACAUGUAAGAAUGUAAGACACUGCCUCAGAUUAAUGUCAGGAAAUACACAUUUUGAAUUUCCCAACAGUGAUUGUCGUUGAGAGGGAAUUUGAAGGAAAAUCCUUCAUUAUUUAGCACUUGGUUGUAAACCUGUGUGUUUACCUUUUGUUGCUGUGUAUCCAGCCAUUUCUUUUUCAUGUUAAAAUACUUGUUUCAGGUCAUGAAUUUCGAAUUUCUGUGUCGUGGGAAAAGUAAGAUUCAUUCUAGUGGAGAAUGUUUACAGCCAGCCGUCAGAUAGCUUAGCUUAGCAUAGUGACUGGAAACAAAGAGGAAAAGCUCGCCUGGUUCUGUAUAAAAGUAAUACAAUUCUAUAAACGGCAAAAACUACACCUUUGGUGUACUGAUUAGGGGUGGAUUUUGUUGGAAUUUGUUGCUAACUGGCUGAUUUCUCUCCACCUGGUUCCACUCGCUGUGCUAAGCUAAGCUAACCGGCUUCUAGCUGUCGUUUUAUAUUUUUACAGGAAGUGAAUGGUUUCACUCUCCCCAUCUAACGCUCUGCAAAAAAGCUUAUUUUACAAACGCUUAACCACUUUCCACACUGUUUUGUAGUGAAGGAUUGAUGUGUUUUCUGGGAUUACUUUGUGUGAUAUGAGCAUUAGCUGAGAACUUGUAUGUACAACUGUGAUUUUCCUACUGCGUCACGUCAAAAUGUCUUCUGUUAAAAAGACAAUGUUACACUGUUCCCUAAAUGACAGACUUUCUUCUGCUUAUUUCUUUACAUAGAAAUCACCUUUUUGUUAUUAGUUUGCUUGGCUUGUAAAUUCUUAAGGGCGCUGUCGCCCUGCAAGAUGAGGUAGUACAGUUCCUUGGCAAAAUCCUCCGGUUUUAACAAGGAAAGACGUCGGUCAUGAAAUGAGGAUGGGUAACAUGAAUAUAACAAUGAAAAGUUGGUGGAAAGAAAGAGGAACGAGUCUGGAACAAGAGUGAUGAAAGCAAAAGAAGAAGAAGAAAAUGCACGCACAUGCAAAUACUGAAAAAAAAA